rnacentral:rRNA from 1 species
UAAUACGAAUGGGGCAAGCGUUGUUCGGAAUCACUGGGCUUAAAGCGUGCGCAGGCGGAUAUGAAAGUCAGGAGUGAAAUCCCAGGGCUCAACCUUGGAAUUGCUUUUGAAACUCCAUAUCUAGAAUCCGGUAGAGGUCAGUGGAAUUCCGAGUGUAGAGGUGAAAUUCGCAGAUAUUCGGAGGAACACCAGUGGCGAAGGCGACUGACUGGACCGGUAUUGACGCUCAGGCACGAAAGCGUGGGGAGCAAACAGG